GAUGAACGCUGGCGGCGUGCCUAAUACAUGCAAGUCGAGCGAACAGAUAAGGAGCUUGCUCCUUUGUCGUUAGCGGCGGACGGGUGAGUAACACGUGGGUAACCUACCUAUAAGACUGGGAUAACUUCGGGAAACCGGAGCUAAUACCGGAUAAUAUUUCGAACCGCAUGGUUCGAUAGUGAGAGAUGGUUUUGCUAUCACUUAUAGAUGGACCCGCGCCGUAUUAGCUAGUUGGUAAGGUAACGGCUUACCAAGGCGACGAUACGUAGCCGACCUGAGAGGGUGAUCGGCCACACUGGAACUGAGACACGGUCCAGACUCCUACGGGAGGCAGCAGUAGGGAAUCUUCCGCAAUGGGCGAAAGCCUGACGGAGCAACGCCGCGUGAGUGAUGAAGGUCUUCGGAUCGUAAAACUCUGUUAUUAGGGAAGAACAUACGUGUAAGUAACUGUGCACGUCUUGACGGUACCUAAUCAGAAAGCCACGGCUAACUACGUG
rnacentral:rRNA from 1 species